rnacentral:rRNA from 1 species
GAUGAACGCUGGCGGCGUGCCUAAUACAUGCCAGUCGAGCGAACGGACGAGAAGCUUACUUCUCUGAUGUUAUCGGCGGACGGGUGAGUAACACGUGGAUAACCUACCUAUAAGACUGGGAUAACUUCGGGAAACCGGAGCUAAUACCGGAUAAUAUUUAGAACCGCAUGGUUCCAAAGUGAAAGACGGUCUUGCUGUCACUUAUAGAUGGAUCCGCGCUGCAUUAGCUAGUUGGUAAGGUAACGGCUUACCAAGGCAACGAUGCAUAACCGACCUGAGAGGGUGAUCGGCCACACUGGAACUGAGACACGGUCCAGACUCCUACGGGAGGCAGCAGUAGGGAAUCUUCCGCAAUGGGCGAAAGCCUGACGGAGCAACGCCGCGUGAGUGAUGAAGGUCUUCGGAUCGUAAAACUCUGUUAUUAGGGAAGAACAUAUGUGUAAGUAACUGUGCACAUCUUGACGGUACCUAAUCAGAAAGCCACGGCUAACUACGUG